UCUACUACCUUUAAAAAUAGUAAAUAUAUACGUGUCCUCUAACGACUGGAUUAUGCUAUAUUGUCGGUGUACAUAAAUUUAUUUAAAGUUCUUCAAUAGCUCCAAAUUAAUGUAAUACGCUACAACAGGAAAUAUAUAAAUAGUAAUACACAUACACAUAACAAACCUCAAUAGAAGUCAAUAUAGAUAAUAUUAUACCAAUUGGAAUAUCAAAUAUUUACAAAGCUAUAGAAUCUGAAAAUGAAUGUGAUAUUAAACCACAAGAAGAAAGUACUGGCGCUCGGUGUUACGAUAGUAGGGGCAAGAUACUUGUGUUCCAGAUCAACAAGGAAAUGUGGUGUUGACUUUCCUCGUGAUACGGUUAUUCUUCACACAUGGCCACGAAUGAAAUUUAUACCGCAGAUGGACCCUUUCUCUUUGAAGGUAGAAACGUAUCUGAGAGCUAAUGACAUCCCGUACAAGCUGGACGAAGAGUCUAAAAAUGGUCCCAAAGGUGAUUCCUGUAUACCAUGGAUAGAAUAUAAUGAUAAAAGACUGGCAGACCAUGACGUGAUAACAAAAUAUCUAUCGAGUACUCUAAAUAAAGAUAUGAAUGAACAUCUGUCUAUGGUUGAGAAAGAAAAGGCCACAGAGAUUCAGAAAUGGCUGGAGAACCGCACCUAUUGGGUGACAUAUCACACACGUUGGUAUGUUUACUGGGACGAUAUGCUGGUCAACUUGUUUGAAUGUCCAACAUAUGUCAACAACUUAAUAAGAAGACCAGCUAGGCUGUAUCAGAAGAUAAUAACUAAGAAACAUGGAAUUGAUGGUAAAAGUGACGACGAAGUGAACGCUAUGUUGGUAGAAGAUCUUAGAAAGUUUUCUGAUAUUCUCGGUGAGAAAGAUUUCGUCAUGGGGAAUCAUAUUAGCGAGGUAGAUUGCAUUGCUUUUUCAAUCAUUUCACAAAUCCGAUGGUGUUGCCCAAAGGAAAGCCCCGGACAUCAACUUUUGACAGGUAUAGUUUAAUUGGAUUUUGAUUUAUUCACAAAAGGAAAGCUCCGGACAUCAACUUUUGACAGGAGGAGAGAUGCAGAAUGUGAUGGACUAUCUGGACAGAAUAAGAAACUUAUAUUGGUCAGAUUGGGAGGAGCUUAUGAAGUCUGCCAAGUGUAAAUCUUGAAAUAAUUUCCCUUGAGUUAUAUGACAUUAUAAACAACAGAUACCUCUGAAUAUGUUUGACGCAACAUUUCAUUAUAAAAUGUAAUGUACUUCAUUCAAGGAUACAGAGAUAUUGAGUUAUGAAUGUUCUUUAACCAGUCUAGUGUGAUAUGUGUAUACAGACUGGACAGCCAUAUUUAGAUCUACGUGAGAGUUAUCUAUGUGAUGCUAAAACUUUUAUUAACAAGAUCAAAUCGUUUCCGGUCAAAUUUCAACUUAAUCUCUAAACGCGGGUACUUUUAUAUUGAGUUUAUUCAUAAAGAGGACCUUCAAUAGCUCGACGCAAUUGCAAGUUAUAGGUUACUACAGCAAUUCCAUAAAAGGAAUAGUUAUCAUUGAUAUGAUUUCUGUCAAACAGAUAUUUUAUAAGCAUAGAAGAAUGGCAUUUCAUCUACUUAAUAUAUGAAAUACUCAUCAUCUAUAUAAUCUUGAUCAUUUUUGCUAUAUAUUUUUGAAUAAAAUAUUGUAUUUGUUUCGACACAUUCUUAAGUCAAGUGAAGUUUAUAAAUACACAUUUGUACAUAUUUUAUAACUUUUUUUAACCAUGUUAAAUAUCUAUAUUUUUGUUAUUUGAUGCUUUUUAUUAUUUGUUUGCUACUAAAAAAGUAAAUGGAGAAAAUAUGA